rnacentral:rRNA from 1 species
UGCGUAGGUGGCGAGGUAAGUUGGAUGUGAAAUCCCAGGGCUUAACCCUGGAACUGCAUUCAAUACUGCCUUGCUAGAGUACUGGAGAGGAGAUUGGAAUUUACGGUGUAGCAGUGAAAUGCGUAGAUAUCGUAAGGAAGACUAGUGGCGAAGGCGGAUCUCUGGACAGUUACUGACACUGAGGACAAGGCCAGGGGAGCGAAACG